CUCGUAGGUGGCCAACUAAGUCAGACGUGAAAUCCCUCGGCUUAACCGGGGAACUGCGUCUGAUACUGGAUGGCUUGAGUGUGGGAGAGGGAUGCGGAAUUCCAGGUGUAGCGGUGAAAUGCGUAGAUAUCUGGAGGAACACCGGUGGCGAAGGCGGCAUCCUGGACCACGACUGACGCUGAGUGAGCGAAAGCCAGGGGAGCAAACG
rnacentral:rRNA from 1 species